AAGAUGACAGAGAGACUGAAUUAUGUAAAGAUUGGAGAGUAGUCAAGACAUGAGUGGCUAUCUUAAGAUAAGGAAGGAUAUGUAAAGAAAAAGACACACAACUGAAGAAAAUAGACUGAUGGAUUAAGGUGUUCACUGUGUCACAUUUUCUU
rfam:Procavia capensis cont1.802200, whole genome shotgun sequence.